UACGAAGGGGGCUAGCGUUGCUCGGAAUUACUGGGCGUAAAGCGCACGUAGGUGGCUUUUUAAGUCGGGGGUGAAAUCCUGGAGCUCAACUCCAGAACUGCCCUCGAUACUGGGAAGCUUGAGUUCGGGAGAGGUGAGUGGAACUGCGAGUGUAGAGGUGAAAUUCGUAGAUAUUCGCAAGAACACCAGUGGCGAAGGCGGCUCACUGGCCCGAUACUGACGCUGAGGUGCGAAAGCGUGGGGAGCAAACAGG
rnacentral:rRNA from 1 species